UGAGGGUUGAUAGGUUAAGAGCUGAUUGACUGGACGUUACCCACAGAAGAAGCACCGGCUAACUCCGUGCCAGCAGCCGCGGUAAUACGAGGGUGCGAGCGUUAAUCGGAAUUACUGGGCGUAAAGAGUGCAUAGGUGGUUAAUUAAGUUAUGUGUAAAAUCCCUGGGCUCAACCUGGGCAGGUCAUAUAAUACUGAUUGACUCGAGUAUGGAGAGGGUAGUGAAUUUCCGGUGUAGCGGUGAAAUGCGUAGAGAUCGAAGAACACCAGUGGCGAAGGCGGCUACCUGGCCUAAUACUGACGCUGAGGCACGAAAGCGUGGGGAGCAAACAGGAUUAGAUACCCUGGUAGUCCACGCCGUAAACGAUGUCAACUAGCUGUUGGUUAUAUAAAUGAGAUUAGUGGCGCAGCAAACGCGAUAAGUUGAC
rnacentral:rRNA from 1 species